rnacentral:lncRNA from 1 species
GUGUCUCACAUUUUUUUUUAGAACAAGUAUAGUGGCUCACAUCACAUAAUCACCUUUUUUUUGGAGAAAAUACACAUAAUCAUCUUUGACCUGGAUCGCAUAAUGAACGAGAUGGCAGGAGAAGAAUUCAGUAGCCAAGGCCGGCCCGACCGCCCACCGGCCCAAGAAGCCCACAAGCAAAUAACACAACGAGUAUUGGGUAUCUGGGCCGAAAUCCAGAAC